rnacentral:rRNA from 1 species
AUUGAACGCUGGCGGCAUGCUUUACACAUGCAAGUCGAACGGCAGCGCGGGGCAACCUGGCGGCGAGUGGCGAACGGGUGAGUAAUAUAUCGGAACGUACCCAGAAGUGGGGGAUAACGUAGCGAAAGUUACGCUAAUACCGCAUACGAUCUACGGAUGAAAGUAGGGGACCGCAAGGCCUUAUGCUUUUGGAGCGGCCGAUAUCUGAUUAGCUAGUUGGUGAGGUAAAGGCUCACCAAGGCGACGAUCAGUAGCUGGUCUGAGAGGACGACCAGCCACACAGGAACUGAGACACGGUCCAGACUCCUACGGGAGGCAGCAGUGGGGAAUUUUGGACAAAGGGCGCAAGCCUGAUCCAGCAAUGCCGCGUGAGUGAAGAAGGCCUUCGGGUUGUAAAGCUCUUUUGUCAGGGAAGAAACGGUAGAGGCUAAUAUCCUUUGCUAAUGACGGUACCUGAAGAAUAAGCACCGGCUAACUACGUG